UACAGAGGUCUCAAGCGUUGUUCGGAUUCAUUGGGCGUAAAGGGUGCGUAGGUGGCGCGGUAAGUCGGGUGUGAAAUCUCGGAGCUUAACUCCGAAAUUGCAUUCGAUACUGCCGUGCUCGAGGACUGGAGAGGAGACUGGAAUUCAUGGUGUAGCAGUGAAAUGCGUAGAUAUCAGGAGGAACACCGGUGGUGUAGACGGCUUUCUGGACCGACACUGACGCUGAGACACGAAAGCGUGGGUAGCAAACAGG
rnacentral:rRNA from 1 species